rnacentral:tRNA from 1 species
CAAGAAAUAGUUUAAUUUUAAAAAUAAUAAUUUUGGAGAUUAUAGAUAACAAGUCAGAGUGUUUUUCUUGA